rfam:Dictyocaulus viviparus strain HannoverDv2000 D_viviparus-1.0_Cont152.6, whole genome shotgun sequence.
GCAUUGAUGUUUUAGUGAAGAAAUGCUCGGCUGCUACUCGGGCGAUCCAGGAUCGAUUCCCGAUUGAUGCA